UAAAAGCUUGAGGUCCAUAUGGCAGACAGUCCAUUCAGGAAGGAGAGAUAGAGGUAAAGAGAGCAAGAGAAAAGACGCACCAGGACCUCGAGGGCAGGCUGACAGAUCUCAACUGCACUGUGUCUGGAGGAGCAGUGGACCCCCUCCCCGAUGUCCAGCCUGGGAAUCAGGAGCUGGAGGAAGCAGCAGACAUGGGCAGGUGGAGCAGACACAUGUCCCUGCGACUGCCCUGCACUAUCAAAAUGAGCCAGCAGGUUCCCUGAAGAGUACUGAGGGAGAUGUACACCAUUGUUUUUUAUAAUUGUUGAGUGAGAAAAAUCCUAUGGGCAGUUUGUUGAUAAAAGAACUCAGAAUUGAAUAAAGAUGCCUAGAAUCCUGGCUAAAUCCACAAAAUGGUACUGACCCUGGAAGACAGGCACGAAAACAGAUCUACUUUGCAAGUCAACACACUUUCAAAUCUUCCCAGUCAGAGACCUGGUUCAAACCCUGCCUCUGUCCUAUGAGCUUGGCCAUAACCACACCCACAUGACAAAGUUGAUAUUUUAAAGUAAACCACAGACAAGAACACAUGAGACAGCUUCUGGCAUGUAUAAGCAAGGCUUGCUAAAGGCCAUCGGAGCUCCAUCUUCCACCUGAAGAUUCCAGAGAUCUUCCUUGAACCCUUCAGACUGAGUCUUUCUGGCCAGAUGAGCUUCAGGGGAACACCUUACACCCAAACUACUACCCAGAAUAAGAGGAAAAGAGAUUUUGGCUCCAGUUAUGGAAACCAAUGACAUGAACAUGUCCACAGGUGGCCAAGGUUGCAGAGAUGAAUCCCAGGGUGGCUUCUAAUGGGAGGAGUAGCAAAGGACUUGUGGACAUAUGUGAUCUACGGUAGGGCAUGAUGUAACAUGGGACAUGCUGCAUCCGAAAAGAGGAAACUUGCUGGCUGUGACCGGCUUCCCAGUCCUGGGGCCACAUGUGGCUAAGACAGCGCCUGGCAAUCAGCCAGAAGGCAUUGCUCUGGGUUGUGACGGAAAUCGGACCACCUCUAGGAUAGACUCAGAACCCUUCUGCCCUCACGGACAGCUCGUGUUUCCCAUUAUGGCCUGUAGGAUGGGUGUAUUCGUGAACCCUCCCCACCCUGCUGACCUUUACCCUGAUUGGCUCCUGUAUAUUAUAUUAGCUGUGUGUGUUUUCUCAUUAAACGAGAUCCUGCUUUGACUGUU